CACACACACACACACACACACACACACACACACACACAUACUAACGAGGUUUUAAAGGACCCCUGUGACACCUGGGGCAAAGACAUAAAGCCCGUCACCUUCUGCAGUCAAGCGACAGAUGACCAUUUAAACAAGUCUUAUUUGGCAGGUAGUGAACAAGGCCAGUUCAAAUCAAUUUGCAUGGCAAAAGCCAUUGAAAAGCUACCGGAGAAGCCGAAAUGUACAAAUGCAAAGCGUGUACCCAUAACAGAAUCGAAAUGGCAUGUUGCUGUGGGUGUGACACACACACACACACACACACACACACACACACACACACAGAAAACGCUCUUGCUGCUACAAAGCAGCCCUGACCAGUGAGCACAGGUCCUUGCGCACUCUGAGGCACCCAGUGCUUAAUUCCUGACGUCAACUCGAGCUAACCACCCACCGGCUGCCUUCACCUCAACCCAUCUGUUGGUUCAUUAUUGCAUCUCCAGCCUGCCGAAGAGAGAGCACUGGCGGAGAAUGAAUUGGAGUCUAGCGCAUCACAGCACGUGAAAAGGAUAGCGAAUUGUUCAUUUCGGAACGUGUUCAAGCAAAAUGACCAAUGGAUUGAAGCAAAAUGUCUGCCAAAAAUAUUUAAAAGCUUGACAAUCUAUUACAUCAUGUCACUACUGUAUGAUUUUAGAAAUAUUACAGAAUGCUAUUUUUUUCCUCAUUAAAAUAGACGUUACAAAAA